rnacentral:rRNA from 1 species
UACAGAGGUGUCAAACGUUGUCCGGAAUUACUGGGCGUAAAGGGCGCGUAGGCGGCGGGAUAAGUCAGAUGUGUAAGCUCAGGGCUCAACCCUGAAAUUGCAUCUGAUACUGUCCCGCUUGAGUUGGGUAGAGGAGGGCGGAAUUCCUGGUGUAGCGGUGAAAUGCGUAGAUAUCAGGAGGAACACCUGUGGCGAAGGCGGCUCUCUGGUCCCACACUGACGCUGAGGCGCGAAAGUUAGGGUAGCAAACAGG